rnacentral:rRNA from 1 species
CCUACGGGCGGCAGCAGUCGAGAAUCAUUCACAAUGGGGGAAACCCUGAUGGUGCGACGCCGCGUGGGGGAAUGAAGGUUUUCGGAUUGUAAACCCCUGUCAUGUGGGAGCAAAUUAAAAAGAUAGUACCACAAGAGGAAGCGACGGCCAACUCUGUGCCAGCAGCCGCGGUAAUACAGAGGUCUCAAGCGUUGUUCGGAAUCACUGGGCGUAAGGGGUGCGUAGGCUGUUUCGUAAGUCGUGUGAGAAAGGCGCGGGCUCAACCCGCGGACGGCACAUGAUACUGCGAGACUAGAGUAAUGGAGGGGGAACCGGAAUUCUCGGUGUAGCAGUGAAAUGCGUAGAUAUCGAGAGGAACACUCGUGGCGAAGGCGGGUUCCUGGACAUUAACUGACGCUGAGGCACGAAGGCCAGGGGAGCGAAAGGGAUUAGAUACCCCAGUAGUC